rnacentral:rRNA from 1 species
GAUGAACGCUGGCGGCGUGCCUAAUACUUACAAGUCGAGCGAACAGACGAGGAGCUUGCUCCUCUGACGUUAGCGGCGGACGGGUGAGUAACACGUGGAUAACCUACCUAUAAGACUGGGAUAACUUCGGGAAACCGGAGCUAAUACCGGAUAAUAUAUUGAACCGCAUGGUUCAAUAGUGAAAGACGGUUUUGCUGUCACUUAUAGAUGGAUCCGCGCCGCAUUAGCUAGUUGGUAAGGUAACGGCUUACCAAGGCAACGAUGCGUAGCCGACCUGAGAGGGUGAUCGGCCACACUGGAACUGAGACACGGUCCAGACUCCUUCGGGAGGCAGCAGUAGGGAAUCUUCCGCAAUAGGCGAAAGCCUGACGGAGCAACGCCGCGUGAGUGAUGAAGGUCUUCGGAUCGUAAAACUCUGUUAUUAGGGAAGAACAAAUGUGUAAGUAACUAUGCACGUCUUGACGGUACCUAAUCAGAAAGCCACGGCUAACUACGUG